rnacentral:rRNA from 1 species
CAUAGGUUAAUGAGGCGAACCGGGGGAACUGAAACAUCUAAGUACCCCGAGGAAAAGAAAUCAACCGAGAUUCCCCCAGUAGCGGCGAGCGAACGGGGAGGAGCCCAGAGCCUGAAUCAGUGUGUGUGUUAGUGGAAGCGUCUGGAAAGGCGCGCGAUACAGGGUGACAGCCCCGUACACAAAAAUGCACAUGCUGUGAGCUCGAUGAGUAGGGCGGGACACGUGGUAUCCUGUCUGAAUAUGGGGGGACCAUCCUCCAAGGCUAAAUACUCCUGACUGACCGAUAGUGAACCAGUACCGUGAGGGAAAGGCGAAAAGAACCCCGGCGAGGGGAGUGAAAAAGAACCUGAAACCGUGUACGUACAAGCAGUGGGAGCACAGAGCAAUCUGUGUGACUGCGUACCUUUUGUAUAAUGGGUCAGCGACUUAUAUUCUGUAGCAAGGUUAACCGAAUAGGGGAGCCGAAGGGAAACCGAGUCUUAACUGGGCGUUAAGUUGCAGGGUAUAGACCCGAAACCCGGUGAUCUAGCCAUGGGCAGGUUGAAGGUUGGGUAACACUAACUGGAGGACCGAACCGACUAAUGUUGAAAAAUUAGCGGAUGACUUGUGGCUGGGGGUGAAAGGCCAAUCAAACCGGGAGAUAGCUGGUUCUCCCCGAAAGCUAUUUAGGUAGCGCCUCGUGAAUUCAUCUCCGGGGGUAGAGCACUGUUUCGGCAAGGGGGUCAUCCCGACUUACCAACCCGAUGCAAACUGCGAAUACCGGAGAAUGUUAUCACGGGAGACACACGGCGGGUGCUAACGUCCGUCGUGAAGAGGGAAACAACCCAGACCGCCAGCUAAGGUCCCAAAGUCAUGGUUAAGUGGGAAACGAUGUGGGAAGGCCCAGACAGCCAGGAUGUUGGCUUAGAAGCAGCCAUCAUUUAAAGAAAGCGUAAUAGCUCACUGGUCGAGUCGGCCUGCGCGGAAGAUGUAACGGGGCUAAACCAUGCACCGAAGCUGCGGCAGCGACACUAUGUGUUGUUGGGUAGGGGAGCGUUCUGUAAGCCUGUGAAGGUGUGCUGUGAGGCAUGCUGGAGGUAUCAGAAGUGCGAAUGCUGACAUAAGUAACGAUAAAGCGGGUGAAAAGCCCGCUCGCCGGAAGACCAAGGGUUCCUGUCCAACGUUAAUCGGGGCAGGGUGAGUCGACCCCUAAGGCGAGGCCGAAAGGCGUAGUCGAUGGGAAACAGGUUAAUAUUCCUGUACUUGGUGUUACUGCGAAGGGGGGACGGAGAAGGCUAUGUUGGCCGGGCGACGGUUGUCCCGGUUUAAGCGUGUAGGCUGGUUUUCCAGGCAAAUCCGGAAAAUCAAGGCUGAGGCGUGAUGACGAGGCACUACGGUGCUGAAGCAACAAAUGCCCUGCUUCCAGGAAAAGCCUCUAAGCAUCAGGUAACAUCAAAUCGUACCCCAAACCGACACAGGUGGUCAGGUAGAGAAUACCAAGGCGCUUGAGAGAACUCGGGUGAAGGAACUAGGCAAAAUGGUGCCGUAACUUCGGGAGAAGGCACGCUGAUAUGUAGGUGAAGCGACUUGCUCGUGGAGCUGAAAUCAGUCGAAGAUACCAGCUGGCUGCAACUGUUUAUUAAAAACACAGCACUGUGCAAACACGAAAGUGGACGUAUACGGUGUGACGCCUGCCCGGUGCCGGAAGGUUAAUUGAUGGGGUCAGCGCAAGCGAAGCUCUUGAUCGAAGCCCCGGUAAACGGCGGCCGUAACUAUAACGGUCCUAAGGUAGCGAAAUUCCUUGUCGGGUAAGUUCCGACCUGCACGAAUGGCGUAAUGAUGGCCAGGCUGUCUCCACCCGAGACUCAGUGAAAUUGAACUCGCUGUGAAGAUGCAGUGUACCCGCGGCAAGACGGAAAGACCCCGUGAACCUUUACUAUAGCUUGACACUGAACAUUGAGCCUUGAUGUGUAGGAUAGGUGGGAGGCUUUGAAGUGUGGACGCCAGUCUGCAUGGAGCCGACCUUGAAAUACCACCCUUUAAUGUUUGAUGUUCUAACGUUGACCCGUAAUCCGGGUUGCGGACAGUGUCUGGUGGGUAGUUUGACUGGGGCGGUCUCCUCCUAAAGAGUAACGGAGGAGCACGAAGGUUGGCUAAUCCUGGUCGGACAUCAGGAGGUUAGUGCAAUGGCAUAAGCCAGCUUGACUGCGAGCGUGACGGCGCGAGCAGGUGCGAAAGCAGGUCAUAGUGAUCCGGUGGUUCUGAAUGGAAGGGCCAUCGCUCAACGGAUAAAAGGUACUCCGGGGAUAACAGGCUGAUACCGCCCAAGAGUUCAUAUCGACGGCGGUGUUUGGCACCUCGAUGUCGGCUCAUCACAUCCUGGGGCUGAAGUAGGUCCCAAGGGUAUGGCUGUUCGCCAUUUAAAGUGGUACGCGAGCUGGGUUUAGAACGUCGUGAGACAGUUCGGUCCCUAUCUGCCGUGGGCGCUGGAGAACUGAGGGGGGCUGCUCCUAGUACGAGAGGACCGGAGUGGACGCAUCACUGGUGUUCGGGUUGUCAUGCCAAUGGCACUGCCCGGUAGCUAAAUGCGGAAGAGAUAAGUGCUGAAAGCAUCUAAGCACGAAACUUGCCCCGAGAUGAGUUCUCCCUGACUCCUUGAGAGUCCUGAAGGAACGUUGAAGACGACGACGUUGAUAGGCCGGGUGUGUAAGCGCAGCGAUGCGUUGAGCUAACCGGUACUAAUGAACCGUGAGGCUUAACCUU